GGCGACGUCGUGAUGACGAUAGCCCGGCGGAGGCGCGGCCCGCGUGCUCUGGGUGGCUGGGCGUCGAGGCUUCUGAAAUCCGAGGGUAGCUGAGUCAAGGGGAGAACCAAGCACAAAGAUGGCAUCCGGAUUUGGCGUUUGGGGAUUGGCUGUUGUCCUGUGCUGAUUCCUGAGAAAAGCUGUGAAUUCCUGCAACUUACAUUAGGAAUCUUCUGACAUCUUCAACUGCUCUGUGAAGUGCACUGUAAUAUUCU